ACCUCCACCAAAAUUGGAGGAGCAGGUAUCAAGCACACACAUGCAGCUCAAAACACUUUGCUCAGCCACGCCCCCACGGGAAACAGCAGUGACAAACUUUUAGCAAUAAACGAAAGUUUAACUAAGCUACACUAAUUAUAAGAGUUGGUCAAUUUUGUGCCAGCCACCGAGCCCAUACGAUUAACUCAAGUUAAUAGAACCUGGCGUAAAGAGUGUUUAAGACUUAACUCAA